ACGAACGCUGGCGGCGUGCUUAACCCCUGCAAGUCGAACGGAAAGGCCCUGCUUUUGUGGGGUGCUCGAGUGGCGAACGGGUGAGUAACACGUGAGUAACCUGCCCUUGACUUUGGGAUAACUUCAGGAAACUGGGGCUAAUACCGGAUAGGAGCUCCUGCUGCAUGGUGGGGGUUGGAAAGUUUCGGCGGUUGGGGAUGGACUCGCGGCUUAUCAGCUUGUUGGUGGGGUAGUGGCUUACCAAGGCUUUGACGGGUAGCCGGCCUGAGAGGGUGACCGGCCACAUUGGGACUGAGAUACGGCCCAGACUCCUACGGGAGGCAGCAGUGGGGAAUAUUGCACAAUGGGCGGAAGCCUGAUGCGGCAGCGCCGCGUGCGGGAUGACGGCCUUCGGGUUGUAAACCGCUUUCGCCUGUGACGAAGCGUGAGUGACGGUAAUGGGUAAAGAAGCACCGGCUAACUACGUG
rnacentral:rRNA from 1 species